GAUGAACGCUGGCGGCGUGCUUAACACAUGCAAGUCGAACGGAGCUGUAUUGAAACCUAGUGAUAUGCAGCUUAGUGGCGGACGGGUGAGUAACGCGUGGGCAACCUGCCGCAUACCGGGGGAUAACACUUAGAAAUAGGUGCUAAUACCGCAUAAGCGCACAGAGCCGCAUGGCUUGGUGUGAAAAACUCCGGUGGUAUGCGAUGGGCCCGCGUCUGAUUAGCUGGUUGGCGGGGUAGAAGCCCACCAAGGCGACGAUCAGUAGCCGGCCUGAGAGGGCGGACGGCCACAUUGGGACUGAGACACGGCCCAG
rnacentral:rRNA from 1 species